rnacentral:tRNA from 1 species
UUCCCUGUGGCUCAGUUGGUAGAGCAUGGUGUGUGCAACGCCAGGGUUGUGGGUUUGAUUCCCACGGGGGGUG